rnacentral:rRNA from 1 species
GACGAACGCUGGCGGCGUGCUUAACACAUGCAAGUCGAGCGGAAAGGCCCUUCGGGGUACUCGAGCGGCGAACGGGUGAGUAACACGUGAGUAACCUGCCCUGGACUUUGGGAUAACCCUCGGAAACGGGGGCUAAUACCGGAUAUGACCUGUCACUGCAUGGUGGUGGGUGGAAAGUUUUUCGGUCUGGGAUGGGCUCGCGGCCUAUCAGCUUGUUGGUGGGGUGAUGGCCUACCAAGGCGACGACGGGUAGCCGGCCUGAGAGGGCGACCGGCCACACUGGGACUGAGACACGGCCCAGACUCCUACGGGAGGCAGCAGUGGGGAAUAUUGCACAAUGGGCGGAAGCCUGAUGCAGCGACGCCGCGU